rnacentral:rRNA from 1 species
CGUGUAGGCGGCUCGGUAAGUUGGACGUGAAAGCUCCUGGCUCAACUGGGAGAUGUCGUUCAAAACUACCGGGCUAGAGGACGGUAGAGGGAGGUGGAAUUCCCGGUGUAGUGGUGAAAUGCGUAGAUAUCGGGAGGAACACCAGUGGCGAAGGCGGCCUCCUGGGCCGUUCCUGACGCUCAGACGCGAAAGCUAGGGGAGCGAACG